UGCAUACAUGGAUAGGUGUUUGGCAUGAUCAUGACCACUGGUGAUACAAACGAUUAUCUUUGGCCCAUAGUGCAUAGAUAAUUCGUUGAUUGAAAAUAAUUAUUGAUUAGUGUUACAGGGAUAAAAUAUUGAUGAUGGACUUUUAAAUCAUAGAAGAUAGUAGAUAUCAUGCUGUACUUGACUCUUCUAAUGGAUUAUUGUUUCCGCUACAGUUGUUGAUCUAAAACUUAUUGUCUAUUGUAUUCUAUCAAUUUUUUUCUGUUAAGAACUAAAGAUAAUUUGUUCUACGUUAUCUUAGUCAUAAUAUUCUUUACUGGGCUAGUUGAGCUCGCCCUUUUUCUUUUGGUUCCAUUGUUAUUCUCAGGAGGCGAGAAUGUAGUUGAGACUAGUCGGAGAAUUGAGUAAUGGUUCAAGAUGGUUAUUUUAGAAUCCUCACUAUUUUGUAAAAUAGUGUGACAAUAAUUGUAAUAAAAAUUUUAUUUGAGUUUGGAUAUUGUCUACGAGACAAUACUUGUAUUAAAAC
rnacentral:lncRNA from 1 species